CCUACGGGAGGCUGCAGUGAGGAAUAUUGGUCAAUGGACGAGAGUCUGAACCAGCCAAGUAGCGUGAAGGAUGACUGCCCUAUGGGUUGUAAACUUCUUUUAUAAAGGCAUAAAACGCGGCACGUGUGCCUUUUUGCAUGUACUUUAUGAAUAAGGAUCGGCUAACUCCGUGCCAGCAGCCGCGGUAAUACGGAGGAUCCGAGCGUUAUCCGGAUUUAUUGGGUUUAAAGGGAGCGUAGAUGGGUUGUUAAGUCAGUUGUGAAAGUUUGCGGCUCAACCGUAAAAUUGCAAUUGAUACUGGCAGUCUUGAGUACAGUUGAGGUAGGCGGAAUUCGUGGUGUGGCGGUGAAAUGCAUAGAUAUCACGAAGAACCCCGAUUGCGAAGGCAGCUUACUAAACUGUGACUGACAUUGAUGCUCGAAAGUGUGGGUAUCGAACAGGAUUAGAUACCCCUGUAGUC
rnacentral:rRNA from 1 species